rnacentral:misc_RNA from 1 species
GAUGAAGAACGCAGCGAAAUGCGAUACUCGGUGUGAAUUGCAGAAUCCCGUGAACCAUCGAGUCUUUGAACGCAAGUUGCGCCCGAAGCCAUUAGGCCGAGGGCACGCCUGCCUGGGCGUCACACGUCGUUGCCCCCCCAUCUACUCCUUCGGGAUUGCGGGGGGCGGAUGAUGGCCUCCCGUGCGCCUCGUCGCGCGGUUGGCAUAAAUGCCAAGUCCUCGGCGACGCACGCCACGACAAUCGGUGGUUGCGAAACCUCGGUUGCCCGUCGUGUGCGGUCGUCGCGCAUCGAGGGCUCGAAAAAAUUGCCGGGCUCCGGCUCGGCUUUCAACGCGACCCCAGGUCAGGCGGGGUUACCCGCUGAAUUUAAGCAUAUCAAUAAGCGGAGGA